GAUGAACGCUAGCUACAGGCUUAACACAUGCAAGUCGAGGGACGGGCGCACGGGUGAGUAACACGUAUCCAUCCUUCCCUUUCCUCUGGGAGAGCCUUUCGACAGAAAGAUUAAUACCCGAUAUAAUGGAUGGGGAUGCGUUCCUUUAGGUUGUUGGUGAGGUAACGGCUCACCAAGCCUUGGUUGGAUAGGGGUGCUGAGAGGAAGGUACCCCACAUGGGAACUGAGACACGGUCCAAACUCCUACGGGAGGCAGGAGUGAGGAAUAUUGGUCAAUGGGCGCUAGCCUGAACCAGCCAAGUAGCGUGAAGGAUGAAGGGUUAUGGGUCGUAAACUUCUUGUAUAUAAGAAGAUGUAUUAUAUGAAUAAGGAUCGGCUAACUCCGUGCCAGCAGCCGCGGUAAUUC
rnacentral:rRNA from 1 species